rnacentral:rRNA from 1 species
UACAGAGGGCGCUAGCGUUGUUCGGAAUCAUUGGGCUUAAAGGGCGUGUAGGCGGUUUGUUAAGUCAUGUGUGAAAUCCCUCGGCUCAACCGGGGAACGACGCAUGAAACUGGCAAGCUAGAGUACCAAAGAGGAGAGUGGAAUUCCUGGUGUAGCGGUGAAAUGCGCAGAUAUCAGGAAGAACACCCGUGGCGAAGGCGGCUCUCUGGGACGGUACUGACGCUGAGACGCGAAAGCGUGGGGAGCGAACAGG